CAAGCUUGUGUAAUUCCACUCCUAGAGGAACGGCUACUGAUUCGUUAGGAUAUGUCCUUCUUUCAGGGUUUAUAUACAGAAUUACCACCCACAGUCCCACGUACACACACUCUCACACAAGCAUUUGGGAUCAUUUUAUGUCUUCAUGUUUUCACUUGUUAAAUUGAAUAUUUUGGGGUGGAUUUGUCAAAAUGUGUUUUUUGUUUCCUUCUAUUGUUGGCCAUGUGGGUUGUUUCUCAUUUCUCAAUAUUCUAUAAUAGACAUCUUUAUCUUCAGAAGGCGUUUCAUUUGGUCACAGCUCUCAGGCUUUUCAUCCAUGACGCCAGAUGGUUUCUCGGGAAAGUUGUGCUGGAGUUCCCUGCACAUCACCUUGACUCUCAUCACAUUUCGAAUCUUAAUCUCUGCGUUUCCAAUGCCAAGGUCUUUCUGUCGGAAGGGACUUGGGUCUGGACACCUGUUGGAGCUCGUCCUUGCCCAGGGCAGAGCCGGCCGGCUGCUGGAGACUCUGACCGCUGCACCUUCACCACAGCCCAGACCCUUGGCACCAAGUUCGGCUACGGGAUUAGGGGUGGACAUGGUUCGCACCCGUCGUGAAGCCCGCCCCCCUCUCGAUGACGUGGUAGCCAGCACCGUGCGGAUGUCUUGUGUUCCGACGGCCCAGCCUCCGGACCCUGGUGUGGCGCAUGGGGCCAUGGCCCUGCUCCCCGGGCCCGCGGAGCCCCCGGGCCCCGAGCCCCCGGUUGGCGGCGGCGGCGGCGGCGGCGGCAGCGGCAGCGGCGGCGUUGGCGGGGCCCGCGCCCGGCACGUCAUCAUCAACGUGGGCGGCUGCAGGGUGCGCCUGGCCUGGGCCGCGCUGGCCCGCUGUCCCCUGGCGCGCCUCGAGCGCCUCCGCGCCUGCCGCGGCCACGACGAGCUGCUGCGCGUGUGCGACGACUACGACGUGAGCCGCGACGAGUUCUUCUUCGACCGCAGUCCGUGCGCCUUCCGCGCCAUCGUGGCGCUGCUGCGCGCCGGGAAGCUGCGGCUGCUGCGCGGCGCGUGCGCCCUGGCCUUCCGCGACGAGCUGGCCUACUGGGGCAUCGACGAGGCGCGCCUGGAGCGCUGCUGCCUGCGCCGCCUGCGCCGCCGCGAGGAGGAGGCCGCCGAGGCGCGCGCGGGGCCGGCGGAGCGCGGGGGCCCCGGCAGCCCGGCCUGCGCCCCUGGGUCCGGCGGCGGGCGGCUGGCGCGCGGCCGGCGGCGCCUGCGCGACGUGCUGGACGACCCGCGCUCGGGCCCGGCCGGCAAGCUCUUCGCCUGCGUGUCCGUGGCCUUCGUGGCCGUCACGGCGGUCGGCCUCUGCCUCAGCACCAUGCCCGACAUCCGCGCCGAGGAGGAGAGGGGCGAGUGCUCCCCCAAGUGCCGCAACCUAUUUGUGCUGGAGACGGUGUGCGUGGCCUGGUUCUCCUUCGAGUUCCUGCUGCGCUCGCUGCAGGCUGAGAGCAAGUGUGCCUUCCUGCGGACACCGCUCAACAUCAUCGACAUCCUGGCCAUCCUGCCCUUCUACGUGUCGCUGCUCGUGGGCCUGGCGGCGCGGCCGGGCGCAGGCGGCAACAAGCUGCUGGAGCGCGCGGGGCUGGUGCUGCGGCUGCUGCGCGCGCUGCGCGUGCUCUACGUGAUGCGCCUGGCGCGCCACUCGCUGGGGCUGCGCUCGCUCGGCCUGACCGUGCGCCGCUGCGCACGCGAGUUCGGGCUGCUUCUGCUCUUCCUCUGCGUGGCCAUGGCCCUCUUUGCGCCACUCGUGCACCUGGCCGAGCGCGAGCUGGGCGCGCGCCGCGACUUCUCCAGCGUGCCAGCCAGCUACUGGUGGGCCGUCAUCUCCAUGACCACCGUGGGCUACGGCGACAUGGUGCCGCGCAGCCUCCCCGGGCAGGUGGUGGCGCUCAGCAGCAUCCUCAGCGGCAUCCUGCUCAUGGCCUUCCCGGUCACCUCCAUCUUCCACACCUUCUCGCGCUCCUACUCGGAGCUCAAGCAGCAGCAGCAGCGCGCCGCCAGCCCCGAGCCCGCCCUGCGCGAGGACAGCACGCACUCCGCCUCUGCCUGCGCCUCCGUCGCGGAGGACGACGGCUCGCAGGGCCCCGACGGUGCCGGCCCGACCGGGGACUCCGCGGCCGCGCUGUGGGCAUCCGCGGGGCCGCCCUGACCCGGCGGGGACGCGGCACCGGCGAAGAGGCUGCUGCCCUGGAGCUCCAGGACCAGAACCGCAUUCUCGCCUCCCGCUGCGCACGGAGGGACGGGGACGACUUUGGGGGCCCGGCUCCCUUUGCCAUGCAUGUUGCUCGCUCCGCACAACCCAGAACUUGGCCCGGGGCUGACCCCGGCCUGAGUCGGGGGGUCACAGCCAUCCUGUACUUUCCAAGAGUUGAACUCCAAGGAGCGUCACCAGCCUGUCCUCCGCUUUCCUUCUGCCUCUGGACUUUUGACUCCGUGAUGGCCAGCUAAAAGUAAAUUCAGCGAUCCCAGAAGCUCCAAGCCUGUAGCUCGUCCCCAGGCCUCACUUUGACCUUCCCCUGCGCGUCACUGGUGGGGGUGGGGCGCAGUGGGGCUGGGAGAGGGCACAGUCCCUUCCUGCGCCCGCCGUGUCACCCACAGUGGGCCAUGCCCAUCAGAGGGGGUCUCCUCAUCACGCCUGCAGAAGCCCACAUCGCUGCCGAGCGAUAGGGACAGAGGUGUGACACUGAUGCUCACAGCACGCCAGUUCCUUCGGGGGAGGGAGGGAGGUCCCAGCCCUGACCUCUGACCUUCCUUCCCCGGCACAAGCUCCGUGGGGAUCUUCCGGGAUCCCUCCUCAUCUGUUCGCCCCUGAAAAUGCCCGGCAAAGCUGAAGGCCUGCAUGUCAGCCGGCCCCACCCUCCCCUCGGGCGCCCCGGCCCCGCCCGGGGUGACUGAGCUGCUUCUCUGGAGGCCAGAGGAAUCUGUGCUCUUCACAUCGCUCGUCACCCAGCACAGCUGGUCGUCCGGGAAGAACUGCUUCCUCCUGCGGCGCGGGGAGGCCUCGCCGAUUUUCCCUCCAAGGGUUCGGUCAGCGGUGGAGUAACCCAAGGCAGCUGUCCUCUGUCCUCCCCCACCCCACCCCGCUGCAGUGGCUCUGAGGGCACCCAGGCGCCCUGAAAGACCAGAGGCCACCUCGGGUCACGGGAUGGGGUGCCCGUCGGCCAUCCUGCUGGGAACCGCGGGUGUGUGGGGAGGGGCGGAGCACACCCACUGCCCACCGCGCGGGCGGAGCGCCAGCCGCUGGCUUGUCUGUUCCGUCUCCCCACCGCCACCCCGACCCCCCCCCAACACCGUCCCUCCAGCUGCGCUCUGGAAGGCUCCGCUGGCUGUGGCCUCGGUUGCCCAUCGGGCUUGGGGGCCGGGAACUGGCCAGGUCCCCGCCGGCCUGCUCCCUCAUGCACGCCAAGGAAACCCAGCCUGGAGACACUCCUAUGGGACAGCUCUGUGCGUCUCCCGCAAGACGUGGUGUUGCCAUCGCUGCCCCCUUGGCCACCUGCUGAAAACGCUCGAAAGCACUGCAGGAGGGAGGACAGGAGACUGAGUUUGCGAAUGCAGCUGUCUCAACUCCCCAAGUGCUGUGCAGAGAGCAAAGGUCAGUUCCCGCCGACUCACGACUCGCUCGCGCGGGGGCACAGGGUUUGCUCUGGCCACCAAACCAGUGGGCAGGCUGAGUGGGCCAGGCACACCCCUUUGCACCUGAGUUUCCCCAUCGGUACAACCACAGUGAUCCAGAAGAGCCCUCUGGCUCCACAGCCCCAAGAUGCAGGAUCCUGGUCCCCGCCAGAGCUGUCUGGUUGACCCCAAAACGUCUGCAAAGCGUUUAGGGGGUGACUUGCGUCUGUGACAUCCCAGGAAUCAGCCAGCGCUCCCCUUCCCCUCAGGGCUGCUUUCUGCACAGGCUGUGCAUCCUCCCUUGGGCCCUGACGGGCCCUCCCCCACCCCCAGCUGACCCGCGUGUGCCACUCAGACUGAACAGGGCAGCUCCAGGGCUGAACAUGCUCCACUGUCAAUGUUGAGGGUUGGAAACCCCCAUAUUUGCUUCCAAAAUAGCCCCAAUUCCUGUACUCCUUAUCUUUGGGGAAAAUGCAUCCCCCGCCUCUGUGUGCGCGCGCGCGCACACACACACACACAGACACACACACACACACACACAGUUUCUUCCUGGCCAGCUGGAUACCAGGGCUGGGGUGGUGAGGGCAGCUCGAGAGCUGUGGGCAGGGUGCCGGCACCGUUUGCAGCUCUUUAUCUGCUCAGAGCUUUCAGAAGCUCAACUGAACGAGAUGAACUUUCUCACGCACCCCAGGAGCUGGGGCAACAGCACCAUUUUGUUCCCAUUUCCAAAAUGCUAUCCUCGUUGAGAGGAAGAGCUAUAAAAAUAAACAGGACAUUUAGGGUUUGGGGGAAAAAGUGACCUUCUUCAUAUAUUUUUUUCACUGGAAGCCCUGCUUCUCGUGGGGCUAUUAAACGUCUGCCCUUUCCCCGGUGGAUGGCUGUGCCCAGAGCUCGGGGUCAGCGCUCUCUUGGCCGGGGCAGCAGCUGGGCCUGUGAAACAGCUCUCUCUUCUGUGUCUGAAGGGCAGCUCCAGGGCUCGCUCCCCAGAGGAACACAGGAGCCUGUUCGGUGCCAUUUCCCGGCUCAGCAGUGAAGUCCCCAAAAGAAAUACUCUCCACGAAAAAAGAACUGCUCGGUACAAAGGGAUCCAACCCUACUUGCUAUACGGAAUUACCGGUUUUCCUCGAAACACUUCUUCUGGCCUUGAAAGGAGACACUCCCCAACCUUUUGAGGCACCCCCUUGUUAAGGGAACUGUGUGAACUGGCGGAGACCAGGGCGCCACCACCUCCCCCCGCCUGGCCCUGCUGGCACAGGACGGUCACUGUCCCCGGGGGCCUGAGGGAGCAGCCCCGGUCUCACAGGGGCCACAACUGUCCCCCACGGAGGAGACGCUGGCCCAGCCCUUCCCUGGGGUCCCCUGAGGUGAAUGAGGACGAGACCGGCCCUUUACUCUGCCCUGGACCCCCCACUCCGACUCCACUCACAAGGCCACGCUGGAUCCAUGAGCAGUUUAUUGAAUUAAAGCCACCGACAGAAUCAGCAGUGCUCCCACACGUGGCAUGUAGGUCACCCCUGCAACUGGUAACGCUUUAAUUUGGAGGCAAUGACUGCUACAGACAUCUCCUUUCAUUUUUAAAAAGUAAACGUUUUCAAAGCAUCUUGCAGGCCAGAGAACUAAGCAGGAUCCUCAAACAUUCAGGAGUUUUUGAGGAAAACUCAGGAGGAGGAAACGGCUCCGCACGCCGUGCACUGGCCACGGCAGACGCUGCAGCUUUGGCACCAGCCCCAGGACCGUGGACACUACAGAGCCACCCCUCUGCCUGGGGGAAGGAAAAGCGCCUGCGGGAGCCGUGUGGAAGCAUCUAAACACUUGCCCUGCGGGGCCCGGAGUUGGAGCAGGGCCGCUGGGCACGGCUGAGAUGCUCGUGUAAACCGAAGGGGGACCAGUGUCAGACCAGCACCCCACCACCACCAGGCACAGCGGAUGCGGAGGGCUGCACAGGAGGAGGGUGGCGGCAGGGACGCCCUGCACAGCAUGGGGGAACACCUGCCUCGCUGUCCCCUGCCCUGACCCGCAGGCAUCUCCAGGCCUGGAAGACAGAUACCUAAGGCCAUAUCUGCAAGCACACGGUUCCCAGAGGAAAGGGAUGCCUGUGCAGUAGCCCUCCGUGGGGAUGGCCAGUGGGUCUGCCCGGCCCCAGGCCCAGGCCCUCAGCCUUCCCAGGCAGCCCCGGGGGCUGCUGCACCCGCCAUGCCCCAGCACCCGCAGAGACCCCAGGCCCCGCUCCCAACACCCUGGGGCUCACACUGGCCAGAGCCCGGCUGGAGACGGUGUGUCCACGGCAGCCUGCCCAGGAGGGGCCGGCAGAGCAGCGAGGCCACUGGGGGCCCUGGAAGGGGACCUACCUAGGGUUUCGCACCCAGAGCCCUGUGAUGCUUUGGUACCUCACCCCCACGUGUCCCGGGCCCGACCCUGCCGGGAGUCACCCCCAGCCAGUCUGAGGCUGCGGGCUCCGUGGGCUGGGACCUGGGCUCUCCUGGUGCCGUUCCUCACUCCUGCCCCCCGUCUCUCCCAUCUUGGGGCUCCCCAGCCCAGCUGCAGGCCCCCUCGGCCCCAUCAGCCACGUCGAGGCCACGGGGGCUGAGAUGUGGAGGUUUCCUGAGCUCCUCGGUCCUGCAGGGCCCAGGGUGGCCUCCUCCUGGUAUGUGAACAUGACUUAGGCUCCAGCCAGCAGUAUUUUGAGCCAAAGUGGGAGAGGAGACCUGCUUUUCCGUCACCUUGAGAGCAGCAGGCGCCCAGCCUGGGGGAAAACCUGCUCACACGAGUCCCAGAUAACAGAGCACAACAUCGGCACCCAGGCCCCAUCACCCCCCGAGAGCCGCAGAAGCUGAGCAAGACCCAAUGGCUGGGACCCUGUCUCGGGGCCGCAGCACCCACCUGCCCCACUCGGGGAGGACAGGUGGCCUGGCCGGAGCCCACGGCCCGUGGUCCCGCAUCCUCAUCCUCCCAGCUGCCUCAGAGGGCCUUGGCGCUGGCAGGGUGCGCUGCGUGGGGGGCCGGCUUUAGGGGGUGGCGGGUGAACACGUAGGCCUGCCCCAGGAUGGCCAGGUCCACCAGCACCUGCAGCAGGCCGCACGCUGAGAACUGCAGGGGCGCGCCGUUCAGCAGGAAGUAGGCCGUCUUGAAGGUGUCGCCGCUCGUCCACAUGAGGACCAUCUUGAUGCUGUGGAGACACGAACGGUGGUCAGGGCUCACAGACCAUGGAUCAGGGGUCACGACCCCUGGGUCGGGGGACAUAAUCCAGGGGUCAGGGGCCAAAAUCUAGGGGUCAGGGGACAUAACCCAGUGCUUAGGGGACAUAACCCAGGGUCAGGAGACAUAACUCAGUGGUCAGGGGUCAUAAUCCAGGGGCCAGGGGACAUGCGAGGCCUCCUGUCCUGGCCAUGAAGCCACUGCGUGCAUGGCCGCAAGGACAGGAAGGCCCUUCGGCAGGAGCAGCCUCAGCUCUCCAGAGCAGGGGAGGGGCUGGCACAGGGGCCGAGCCCACACGGCCUCACAAACGUCCCAUCCUUCCUGGCUGCAGGCACAUCAGGUGUGUGUCCCUCGGGAGACACGCUGUGGCCUCAGACGGGAGAGGGAAGACCACCACCUCCUCAUGCCGCGUCCCACAGGCUGACCCUGCAGCACGAGAACUGGCCUGGGAGGGGCGGCCCUCUGCCCCCCACACCUGCACCCAGGGGUGCUAAGCAGGAAAGCAGAGGCUGCCGGGCGAAGCAGGGUGAUGCGGGCUUCUCCUGGGAAUCCCCUCCAGGCCAGGCCCCUCACUCAAAAGACAGCCUGAGGGCGAUUCCAUUCCUGGUCAUCGGUGCCACUCCCAAAGUCUGAGAUCGGUCCGUGUGGCACAGAGCGGCCCCGUGUCAUCUAUCGCUCACGUCUGCACACACCUCUCCACACACGGCAUCUAACGCCUGGUUGCCAGGUAACGGGCAUGAGCACCAUCAUGUUUUCCUGCAUAAAGUGUUUAAAUCAGACCCACUCCCACAGCAGGCACACACUGCGUGGCUCACUAAACCAGACCACGGCUUGAGGGGGGGCCGCCUGUCACAGGGAGGAGGUGAGGACCCUCAGGGACAGGAUGACACCAGGCUGGAAGCCGUCUGUGCCCCAGGUAGGGCGGGCACUUUGCGCCCCUGAGGUGGCCCCGGUUCACCCCAGAGCUGGGCGACCUCCGACCCCAGGUCAGCUCUUAUCAGUAAAACCAGGCGAGGAGCCCGUGGCCCAGUGCAGGGAUGUCCAUGUCCCCUGCUCUGCCCACAGGAGUGUCAGCCCGACCGUGCAGAACCGGGACAGGAAGUGGACAGCUCCCCUGACCUGCACCCACAGCGUCUGGAGGCUCCCGUGAUCCUUAAUCAGGAGAAUGACUCAGGGCACGGGGAGGCCCAGCAGGUUGGCUCCCGUCGACCCUGCAGCCGGCCCACCCAUCUGAACAGCCCAGCGCGUCUCGCUUGGCUUGUCGCGUUGACUCACGUGGCGUUUGAAGACUUCUGUUUUUAAUUAGCUGAUACCUAACUCUGCAUUUAAAACUCCAGGUUGUUAUAUAUCAUCAGUCCUUUUUCUCUGGCUUUCCACAUUUAUUUGACUUUGGUUUUUAGCAGUUUGUGAUGUGAUGCAUGUUUGGGACUUGCUGAACAUCUUAAAGCUGUACGGUGAUCUUGCAUCAAGUUUGGGAGGUCUUCAGCCGUUAUUUCUCCGGCAUUCUCUUCUGCACCAGUCCUUCCCCUCUCCUGUGGGCUCAGGCGACACGAAUGUUAGAUUUCAUGGUGCUGUCCCUGAGUCUGUUCUCUUUUUUUCCCCCGAUUUUUUCUCUGUUGUUCAGACUUUCACUGAUCUUCAAGUUCAUUAAUCCGUCCUGUGUCGUCACCAUUCUGCUACUGAACUACUGAAGUGUAGUUUUUAUUUAGCUACUGUAUUUUCAAGUUAAAAAUUUCGGGCUGGCUUUUCUUACAGCUUUUAUUUCUCUCCUGAGAUGGUCCGUCUUUGCAUUGAUUUAAAGAGCGUCUGCCGUUGCCCUUUAGAGCAGUUACACCAGUGCCUUGAAAAUCUGAUAAUUCCAGUAUCUGUCACCUUAGUUGACUGUUUCUCGAUUCUUUGUUGUCUGUUGAUCGUCUUUUGAGAGUUGCUGAGAUUUUCCUAUUCUUCGUGGUGAGGAACUUGGGUUUAUAUCCUAGACGUUUUUAACGUUCCAUAAGGAGACUGUCUUGCUUCAGUCCUGUGGAGAACGUCGUGUUUUAUGUUCUACCAGGGAACCGACGCGGUUGAGUUGAGUUCAAGCUGCAAGUUCUGGGUGGUUUUCAGGGGCUACGGCUCAAUUUCUGCUCAGUUUUCAAAACCACUGCGGCGCUACUCGUAUCUGCACUGUGUGGGCAGCCCUUGGUGGCCAGGCGGGGACUUGGGUGGUGGUGUGCCCCGCAGGUCCUGGAGGAGAGCCCUUCCUGCCCCUCAGACCAGGCAGAGCGGCUUCUCUCGGAGCUCUCUACCCAGCACACCAUUCUGGACUUGGGGCUGCGCCGGAGUCCAGGCUGGCAGAUGUGAAAAAACAAAACGUCAAUCCGUCUGCUCCAGCACCCAGAGCUGCUCCAUCCGUCCCGUCCGGAUUUGUAGCUGCACCCGAGGGGAAAGACGGGCCCUUCGUGGAAAAGAUCUGAGAUUAGCAGCAUUCCAUCACUGGCCACCCUGUGCCCCGUCCCACGUUUUGCUGGCCUUCGCUGACUGGUCCCUGUGGACACCUGACCUAGUAGACCCCGGACGAUGGCUGAGGAGCAGCAGGGAGAAUGCCUCACUGCUGUCAUCCCUUCUCCGUGGCAUCUGUCGCCGCAAAGUUGUGCCUCUCUCUCCGUCUGAAUUCUGUCCUGCUCUGGUGCACCAACUCGGAAUUUUAGAGUGAACUAGUGGUGUGAAAAAUGGCCUGCAGGUGACUGCAUCACGGUCCGGGGACACAGGGGACUGGACAGGGGCCGCCCACAGCGGUAUCUGGAAAGAGCAGCAGGUGGGAGCACAGGGGCUGCCCAGCAGUGGCUCGGGUCAACCUGCACACGUAGAACCCCGGGGGGAUUGCAGAGGCUGGGCGGGAGGGAGAUGCACAUGACACGGUGGAGAAACGCCCCAGAGUGACAGCUGCGGUGGGAGCGGUGUGCGCCGGGGGACUGGGCACCAGUGUGGCCGGGUGGCACCGGGAGGCUGCGGGCACCUGGGCAGACCGGAGCCACCCAUCUGAGCUACAGAGAUGCCCAGCCUGCCAGCGAGGCUGCUCCCAGCGUUCCACAGCUCGGAGCACCUCCAUUUCAAAGGAAAACCCACACCCACAGAGCAAGCAUUUCAAGGAGAAGCUCCCCCAAGCAACCGCUAUGUCUACAAAAGGCCAUGAAGACAGGAAGAGAACCAACGAGUCAUAAAUGAGUCUAGUUCCAUCUUACAGAAUUAAGAGCUGAGGCCCAGUCUCCCCCAGAGGCACCCGAACUUAAUAGGAGACUCAAAGACCCCCCCUCCAAAAACAAACAACACGGAGUGGCCUGUGCGGCCCCUUUCACAGAGGAGAGGCUGAGGCAUAGAGAAGUCGGGUGGCUUGCCCAAGGGCACACAGCGAGUGCCUUACCCUGUGGGAAGGGCUGGGGAGGGGGCGGCAGAAGGCACAGCUGGAGCCUGGCCCGGGCUGGUGUCCGUCUGGGCCCUGGAGGCACAGGUGCACCUUCACCCCACAAGUGGAGACGUGAGGUCACUGCAGAGAGCUGGGCCCUGCCUGACGCACACGAACAUUUUUAGCUGCCCAGGCGCCUCCCCGGGCCCGGCCCACAGUCAGCUCUCGCCCCGGGGGCAGGAAUCCGACAGGCCCCACCAGCAGCCCCACGUGUUGAGGGCUCGGGGCAAAUAUUAAUCAGGCUGCUCCCGGCCCGUCUAAGCAGCAGACCAGUGCCAGCCUGAGCGACGUGAGCCCUCGUGCAGGGCGCUCUGGACAUACAAGCUCGUGCCUCGCACCCUCUGGUCACCCCAGACCCUGCGGUGCCCUGUGGACGUGUGCCGAGCCCAGGCCCAUUCUCCCCACACGGGUGUUAGGUCAUCCUUUACCCUCAACAGCUAUCGGGCAGGGCGAGCCCCGAGGCUUGGCUACCACUGGCCAGCAGGCCAGGGACGUCCUCGUGGACACCACGUCCGGAGCUCGCCUGCUGCGCACGGCUGGGUCUCCAGGAAGACCCCUCCUCGACAGAGGGCUCAGCUGGCCCAGGGCUCCAGUGAUGCGGGGGGCGCAGGGCUCAGAGAACCUUGCAGAAGCCGGUCUGGGUGGGAGGGGAGACUGUCCCCAGGCUGCAUUCCUCCAGCUCAGGGGGCGCCGGGAAGCUGGAUUCCGUUUUCUAGGUCCCCCCUCACACCGGGCCCCACCCCAGCUGCUGCCUCAAAUGCCUGGCCCUCCCCGCCCUCGUGCUAUUUUAAUCCGGGCCCCCGGUACCUCAUUCUUGGCUCCAGCAUGUUUCCUCCCCAAGUGAGCAGGCAGAUGACUAUUCCUAAAAUACCUCUCACCUCAUCCUCGCCCCAUCCGGCCGUCCAGAAAGCCUCCGCCCGGCCAGUGCCCACGAGGUGAGAGCCUCACCCCUGCGCCUACCCCGGCCCCGCCAGCAGCCCACACACCUCCCCGGCCGCGCCUCAUUCCCACCUCCCGGCCCGGGCCACACCUACCCUCCUGUCCGCCUAUCCAAAGCUCCCCGAAAUUCAAACCCUACCCAGAACACAUCCCACAGGAGUAGGUCUUUGUGACCGUGGGUCACAAGAAACAAUGGUUUCUCGGGUGUGACAUCCAAAGCAUAGCAGUUUUUAAAAAAGAUCCAUUGGACUCCAUCAAAGUCAAAUCUUGUGCUGCAGCGUGAAAAGCCAGCACACAGCGGGAGAGGAUAUCUGCAAAUCAUGUAUCUGUAAGAACAGUUAAAGAUCUCUACAACUCAAUAAUGAAAGACAGCUAACCAAAUUUUUAAAUGGGCAAAGAAUCUGGAUAGACCUUUCUCUAAAGAAAACGCAUAAAUGGCCAAUAAUCACAGGAAAAGGUGUUUGAUGUCAUUAGUCACCAGAGAAACGCAAAUCAAAGCCACAGGAGAUCCCACUUCACACCCACGAGGAUGGCUACAAUCAAGGGGUCAGAGGGUAACAGGCGUUGGUGAGGGUGUGGAAAAGCCAGAACCCCCGAACACCCCUGGUGGGGACAGAAGAUGGUGCAGCCACCAACUCAGCAAUCCCACUGCUAGGUGUAUUCCAAGACAAAGGAAAACAUACAUCCACACAGAAACUGGUACACAAAUGUUCACAGAAGCACUUUCACAACAGCCGAAAAGAUGUCAAACCCAAAUGUCUACCAGCUGAAGAAGACAUAAGCAAAACCUGAUCUGUCCGCACACUGAAAUAUUAUCCAACCUUAGAAAAGAUGGACGCUGACAGAUCGUACGUGGACGGACCUUGGGAACAUUAUGCAGAGUGAACGCAGCGAAGGACCUCGCAUCGUCUGAUUCCAUUUACAUGACGUGCCCUGAGCACAGAGCCGCAGAGACGGAAAGCAGACCAGUGGUUGCCCAGGCCUGGCGGCGAGGGUGGGGGAAACGGGGAGUACUGAUGGGUGUGAGGCUGCUUCCUGGGUGACGAGAAUGUCCUAAAAUUAGAUUGUGGUGACGGCUGCACAACUCUUUGGAAGUCCUAAACUCCACUGAAUUGCGUACUUUAAAUGGCGAUGGUGUGACAGGUUACAUCUCAAGGAAGUUUUUUUUUCUUUUAAGUUCCAGGGCUUUUGCUGAAUUCUAAUUCCAGCCCUCCUCGUCCAUCGACUGGACCCUGGGUGUGGCGUGUGCGCACAUGUGCAGGGGUGUGUGGCGUGUGCGUGUGUGUACUGUGGCGGAGAAGCGUGUGUGGGAGCCCAGGCGUGCGCUGUUACCACGUGCAUGGCAUUCUCCGCUCACACCAUUGUGGGCUGAUUACGUGUCAAGGACGACAGAGGAAGAUGAGUGGGGGCUGAGAAGUGACGUACGUGCGGCCCCCGGGGGAGACGCCACCCUGAUUCCCGAGCAGCCAAGGCAAGGCUCCAGGCGCCCAGCUCCAGGUUCAAGGGCAACGCCGGAGCCGGACCAGGUGGACACUUCCCGGACGCUUUCCGUCAAGGCAGGAAGUGUCCCCGCUGGGACAAGGCAGCGGGCUGGGGCAUCCCCACCAUACCACGGGGGCCGCGCACGCACACACGCACGCGCCUACACACGACCUCCUCUCGUGGCCCCUGCUCGCUCCCGGGCUUCCCGCCUGCCCCUCCCCCUCCUCAAUCGUAACCGGUUCCCGGAUGGUUUUCCCCACAGCUGGCCUCCUCUUCCAGUCCCACCCGCCCCCAGGCUCUCCAGUAAUUACUUGUUGGGGAACAUCUUCCGAUCCGGCCAAAACGCGGAGGAAGGAGGAGGGAACUUCCGCACUAAUUAGUAACAUGAUUUCAAAAGCGACAGCACUUUCUCGUACUGGUUCAGAAGCAACAGUCACUCAACAUUUUGUAAAGGGAAAUCAUCAAGUAUCUCUUGCAUUUCCUCCAAGAAAUGUACGUGUGUGAAAAUGAGUGUGUGCAUGUGUGUGUGUGAGCAUAUGUGCAUGUGUGUGUUUGAGAAUCUGUGCGUUUGUGCGAGUGUGUGCAUGUGAGCGUGUGCACACACCUGUGCGCGUGGGCUCACACCCUCUAAAGGCGUCAUGGGUAGGCCCUUCCAAGCAGGUCCACAGGAGAUGAAGCUGGCCCUCAGACAGGACCUCACAGCCCCUCCCUUCUUACACCUCCUGACGGUCUUCUGUCUGAAGCAAGUUGAGGCUGAGUGUCUGCAGCAGAUCUGUGGUGGCCCUGACCACAGGGCUCUGAGAAUCCCAAAUCCCAGCGGGUCCAGGGCUUCUCCAUCAGAGAAGGUCAGGGGGUGAAGCAGCCCUCCCGGCGGGCUCCCUGGAUGGAUGCCUGAGGACGCUGGGUCAGGCCACGCAGAGCGGCUGCUGGGAAGUGGGGACGAGGGGCAGAGGCAGCCCUGAGACCAAGUCCUGAGUCCGGGCCUGGGUGCAGGAGAGGGAGGAAGGCCUCUGGUCCUCUGCUUGGGACGGGAGCAACCAACCUCAGGAGGCUCCUGUGUCCAUGCCGAGGGGGGCUGACCAUGCAGCCGGCCGGAGGGUCCUGUGUCGGGGCAAGUUCUGGUCUGAACCUGGGCUGAACCGACCCUGCUAAGUGCACACAGGGAGCCCCAGCCUCUCUCUUCCAGGCCGGGAUGUGGAAAGCGCAAGGGGCGCUUUCCUCACAGCCCCACCCUCCUCGCCCCACCCAGGGGCCCGCGAUCCGCCCCGUAGGAAUCAGGCUACAACGUGACAGGCUGGACACUCGGGGGCAACCAUGCUCGCCACAGCUCAGGCUCCAGCGGGCAUCCAGGCUCCCUGAACACACGGGUGGCAUCGUGCUGGCCCUGGGGACGAGGGAAGGGUCAGACGCAGGUCAGACCAGCCCGGGCUGCACAGGGAAACCUAAGAGUCUCAUUUUCAGGAUCGUGGAAUCGGAUUUGCUGACGUGUGACAGCCAAGCUGUUCUGAAGACACGUCACUGAGCAAGGAAAGAAGGCCCCACCCUGGGGACAAAGUGACAAAACGGAGCUUGGCAGGGAUGGAGCAGAGACCGCGGUGGGGCUGAGGGAAGACCCAGGAGAGGGACGCGCGGAGGCCCGGGUGCCCGUGAGCUGCGCUGGGAGAAGCCUGUGCCGGCGUUGCACUGUUUACGCACCUGCUUCAGGUUUAAUCCAUCAAUGCGUGAAAAUUCCUUUACCUUAGAGUUUCUCUUACACAGACUUCUUCGAAGAAGCACAAAUUUUACAGGAAACAAAACUGUAACCAGGCUCCAGCCCUGUACUCACUCUCUUUCUCAGCACUCAGUCUGUGCUCACGGCUAAGAAAAAGGGUGUUGGCCCUUUAAAUACACACAGAGCAAGGUCACCUCUCUGUUAACUCCAGCUGAGCAGAGAACCUGUGACCCUCCCGUCACCUCCGGUCACCUGUAGGACACGCCACCCCACACCACACGCAGAGGCCCCCAGCGGCCUGGCCCUGCAGACCCUCCCACGGAGCCCUGCCACGACAGCAACGCUGAACAGGCCCCUAACCUAAUCACACCUCCACCCAGAGCCGGCUCUGAGCGGCAGGGCCCACGAUUAGGUUAGUCGUCUUAACGAGGACGAGUGGGGCUCUUGAGAGGACCCUGCACUCCAAGCUGAUUGAAUUAGCGGCCCGUGCCCAUGUCCGUGACAGAGACUGCCCCCCUCCGCUGGCUCCGGGCCCUGCUCGGGCCCCGCCGGCUGGCAUGGAGCGGGUCUUCGUCCCCGCGCAGCCGGGCCUUCUUGCGACCUGCUCGCGGCACUGACCGCAGUCUCCUUCCCUUCCCUUCCGCCUUUGCCUUCUGUCUCCUUUACCCAGUGCCACCAGGCAGGCGGGUGGUCUGUUGGGGGGAGGGCACUGGGGGAGAGGAGCUGCGGUCACCAAAGGCUGAUGACCACACGCAUCCUUUCCGCCCUAAAGUCAGAACCUCAGGAGCACGUGCACCACCCGGGCUUCCUCCUUUCAGGUCCAACGCCCCAGGUACCAGGGCCUUCUGCGCAUCCUGUCACUCCCGAGGUCACCCUGAGACAGGAAGGGGGAUGGCCACGCCCACGGCCGCGCUUCUGCAGAGCAGCACAGACCUCUGUGGUGCGGCCUGGCGUCUUUCCAACACUGCCUUUGCUGGCUGAGUCACCACAGCCCCACCAGGGACAAUUCCCACUGGGGCCUUCUGCAACUUUUGCUGUUGUGCACAAAUUCUCCAAGAACUAGCCCGAUCAGCUAGGUACCCACACUGGUAAAUCUUCCACAUUCAUACCUGCUUCCCCAAGUGUUCUCACUUUCCCGAAAGUGAUUUCGAGUAUCAACUAUUUUAGUCCUUCAUGAGUUCAUUCAAUAAAUAUUUACUGAACUGAACUGCUGUAAUUUUCCAAGCACACUGUCAGGUGCUGGGGAAAGAAAGAAACAGGAUACAGUCCUUGCCUUCAAGGCUGUCAGUCAAGUAGAUGAGCUGGGCAAAUUAAAACAUCCGUGCAUCACUGUCAGAUGGCAAGGAUGUUUCUGGAGAAACAUGGAGACGGUGGUCAGAUAAAAGGAGGUUUAGAAGGUCAGCCUUUUAAAAGACAGCUGCAGUCAUGUGUCCCAUACCCAAGAUAAGAGGAUCGCACACAAAAACAAAGGGUUAGUUAAAAUCAGGUGUGACACAAACUUCAGCUUCUUGGAAGACAGAAUCGUCUCCCUGUUCCUCCCCCAUACACCCUGGACAUUACACAGAGACACAAGACUCUCAAAGGUGGGGAAAAGGCCACAGGAAUGCCAGACUUGGAGCUGAAGAAGCAGGAAAUGCCAGGAGGCCCCAGGAACAGGGUGUUCUCUGUGCAAAAGACCAGGAAGGGUGCAGCCUGGCAGAAUAGGCAACUUUAGCCAAUAACUGCUCUACUCCAAACAAAACAGAAAAAAAGGCAGCCCCACCACCACCCGUGAUAGCAGAGGAGGGUGGAAAUCCUAGACGUUUACUCCUGCCAGGCGUCCCAAUCCCCUGGUGGUAAGAGUGUCCCUCUGCAAAGGAAAACAGGGUCCGGCUGCUGGGUCCUGAAAGGCCAAUAAAGAGGCAAAGUUGGUGGAAAAAAAAAAAAAAUUAUAAGUGGAGGGAAACAUCACAUAUAUAAAAUAUACUACAUUAAAAAUAUCACAAAGGGAGGUAGAGUUUCUACACUUCACUAAAAAAAUCUAUACAGAGAGAUACCCACUCAAAAACACCAUAGAUAAAUACUCAUUAAACAAUAACUCCCCAUCCUCCCCUCUUCCUAGCCCCUGGCAACCACCAUUCGACUUUCUGUCUAUGAAUCUGAUGCCCCUCAGUCCCUCGUAUAAGUGGAACCGUACGGUAUUUGUCCUUUUGUGACUGAGCACGUCCUCACGACUCCAUGAAGUAACCUGUGUCAGAACUUCCUUCCUGUUAAGACUGAAUAAUAUUCCAUUGUAUGGACAGACCACAUUUUGUUUAUCUAUUCAUCCACUGAUGGACACUUGGGUUGCUUCCGUGUUUUACCUGUUAUGAAUAAUGCUAUUAUGUUAUGAACAUGGGUGUACAAUAUCUCUUCAAGACCCUGCUUUCAAUUCUCUUGGUUAUAUGCCCAGAAGUAGAAUUGCUGGGUCACACUGUAAUUCUAUUUUUAAUAUUUUGAGGAAAUGCCAUAUUGCUCUCCACAGCAGCUGGACCACUUUGCAUUCCCACCAAGAAUUCCAAUCUUUGCCCAUCCUUUACCAACAAGAAUUCCAAUCUUUGCCCAUCCUUUACCAACACUUGCUGUUCUGUUUUAUUGACAGUCACCAUCCAAACGGGUGAGAGGUGGCAUCUCACCGUAGUUUUCAUUGUACAGGUCUUCCACCUCCUUGGUUAAGUUAAUUCCUAAGCAUUUUUUGCUUUUUGAUGUUCUCAUAAAUGGAACUGUGCCUGAGGGAGGCAGGGAGCGCCUGAGACCUGCUCUUGGUGGUGCUAAGGGGGAGGAGGCUGCCGCGUCGUUUCCUACAUUAAAGGGCUUGAACCUUCUGCCUUCGGGAGACAUCUGUGGACCCCGCCUCCCGUCCAUGGCCCGCAGUGAGCUGCUUCACGGGAGGGUCUCGGCUUCCCCUCACCUGUCGCACAGGAGCACACCUGCUUGUACGUCAAGAGGUCAGAAGACCAGCGUCCUAACCCGAAGCUAGUCUUGAACUGAAAGCGAAGCAGCAGAUGUGCGCAUGGGUCCCUGCCGCGCCCCUACCUCAUGCCCUCCGUGGACACGGGUCCCUGCCGCGCCCCUACCUCAUGCCCUCCGUGGACACGGGUCCCUGCCGCGCCCCUACCUCAUGCCCUCCGUGGACUGGUGGCGGUGGUUGCGGCAGAGCUGCGGCAUGCCCAGCAUGGCCUCGGUCAGCACGGCCAGGAAGCCCAGGCUCUCCACGAAAAGGGCCGAGUCGAUGGACAGGUAGGUGACACAGCCCGCCACACCGGUGAAGGCCAGGACACACUGCACGUAGUCCCCAAAGCUGUCCCAGUGCCAAAAGUGCUGGGGGUCGAGGUCUAGGGCGAAAGGGAGAGAAACGUGAACGAGGUGUGCAGGCCAAGGUCAGUGGGGGAGGACGGGACCGAGUGAG